GUUGGAUAUAAAAGUCACCAUAAUGUCUCUGCCUAUACGUCGAUGGGCUGGUACUGCAGUCCUUUGUACUAAUCUGACUGGCCAAUGAAAAGUCCAUUUGGAAAACAAGAUCUUCUGAGAAAAAUUGAGAUGCGAUAAAACCAUUGCAGAAGGUUGAGGGGAAAGGAGGAAGAAAAAGAACUGUUCAUGCCAAGGAUAUGUUGAAGCUUCAAGAAUGGAUGGAGUGAAAUGCAUCGCUUUCAGGAGGAGAUCACUUUUUCCAUGACCCAGUGUAUUCAGUCUGGCCGAGGCCAGAGAGAACACACUGUUCACGUGGAACUCCAUAUGGAAUCAAACAGCUAAGAAGCGCUGAGCGUCUUCUCUGUGCCAAGAGCUGAGGUAAGCAUUUUAUCUAUAUAGCAUCAUGUAGACCUCAUGGCAACCCCGUUACAUGCUAUUGUUAUACUAUCUUUCUAUCAGUUUAUCAGAUGAAAACCCACGUCUUAUAUAAUAGUUUAAGCAAUGUCAUACAUUUAGUAAGUGCUGGGGUCAGGACUAAAAUACUAUUUUGGAUGACUUAAAAAUCUACGCAUUUAAUUCUGAAUCCUGUUUAUGUACCUCUUUGGGAUACGUAAGUGACAGCACUGCUUUAUAUUCAUAAUGUUUUAAUCAAUUCAAUCAUUAACAGUUUUAAUUGUCCUGAGAAGACCUCCGUGCAGAGGUGUCUAACCAGCGUCCUGAGUUGCCUGUUUAGGGGCUACCCUGAUUCACGCUACUUUGGUGAUAAGUUUGUGUCAGUUGCCCUCCAGGGAAGGCCUUC
rnacentral:lncRNA from 1 species